UACGUAGGGGGCAAGCGUUGUCCGGAAUUAUUGGGCGUAAAGCGCGUGUAGGCGGUCCGGUAAGUCGGAUGUGAAAUCUCCACGCUCAACGUGGAGGGGCCAUUCGAAACUGCCGUGACUCGAGUCCGGUAGGGGAGUGCGGAAUUCCCGGUGUAGCGGUGAAAUGCGCAGAUAUCGGGAGGAACACCAGUGGCGAAGGCGGCACUCUGGGCCGGAACUGACGCUGAGGAGCGAAAGCGUGGGGAGCGAACAGG
rnacentral:rRNA from 1 species